ACUCCUUUUAAUUAAAGCUGGACCUUCUGCCAGUAGGAAAGAGUUGUUAAGAGAGGAGAAGAAAUAAAAUACCUGUCAAUAUGUCUGAAAGAAGAAAACAUUAAUAUAAGCCAUAAGCACAAGACCACACUCUGGCAAUUUUAAACACAUGCCACAAAAGGAACAUUUAACACACUGGUCUCAGAGAACUGCCUUUUUAAACUUACUUCUUCAUUUUUUAAAAGGAACAAGAUGCAGAAGUCACAAUAAAAAAUUCUUCAGUUGAAGAGAUGGAUUCUCACCAGUAACAUUGCUCAUACUAAUUCCAGUACCUUGAAAUGUCACCACUGGAGGAUACUGCAGGAGAGGCUCAACUACAUACUACAGAUCCAGCACCCAUUCAGCUCUUUCUUGCCUUUGAGUCACUUCUGCACAACCCGGGUUGUACCAGCAAUUCCUUCACAGCUUAUGAUGCACACAGCACUAGCUAAGCUGGUGACAAAUUGAAUUUUGAAGAGAAGAGAGAUGGCAGCUCUUCCAUCUGUUGGGACUGAGAACCUUUUUCACUGAAAAACAGCUGGGACUUUUUUCCUCCUAAAGGAGAAAAACCAGAAGAAUUUGGACAUGUAGAAGUUCUUUAAUAGACAGUGCUU